AUUGAACGCUGGCGGCAUGCUUUACACAUGCAAGUCGAACGGUAACAGCACUUCGGUGGCUGACGAGUGGCGAACGGGUGAGUAAUACAUCGGAACGUGCCUAGUAGUGGGGGAUAACUACUCGAAAGAGUAGCUAAUACCGCAUGAGAUCUAAGGAUGAAAGCAGGGGACCUUCGGGCCUUGCGCUACUAGAGCGGCUGAUGGCAGAUUAGGUAGUUGGUGGGAUAAAAGCUUACCAAGCCGACGAUCUGUAGCUGGUCUGAGAGGACGACCAGCCACACUGGGACUGAGACACGGCCCAGACUCCUACGGGAGGUAGCAGUGGGGAAUUUUGGACAAUGGGCGCAAGCCUGAUCCAGCAAUGCCGCGUGCAGGAUGAAGGCCUUCGGGUUGUAAACUGCUUUUGUACGGAACGAAAAGCCCUCUUCUAAUACAGGAGGGUCAUGACGGUACCGUAAGAAUAAGCACCGGCUAACUACGUG
rnacentral:rRNA from 1 species